rnacentral:rRNA from 1 species
GUAGGUGGCAAGCGUUGUCCGGAAUUAUUGGGCGUAAAGCGCGCGCAGGCGGUUCUUUAAGUCUGAUGUGAAAGCCCACGGCUCAACCGUGGAGGGUCAUUGGAAACUGGAGAACUUGAGUACAGAAGAGGAAAGCGGAAUUCCACGUGUAGCGGUGAAAUGCGUAGAGAUGUGGAGGAACACCAGUGGCGAAGGCGGCUUUCUGGUCUGUAACUGACGCUGAGGCGCGUAAGCGUGGGGAGCAAACAGGAUUAGAUACCCUGGUAGUCCACGCCGUAAACGAUGAGUGCUAAGUGUUAGGGGGGUUUUCCGCCCCCCUUAGUGCUGCAGCUAACGCAUUAAGCACUCCGCCUGGGAGUACGGCCGCAAGGCUG